GUGUAUAACCUUGGUUACUAUUUGGUUUCACGGGAGCUUGUCCAACUUUAUUGAUUUGAUUUGAGUAUUACAUGAGAUAAUUUCAACUGCAAAGAUCUUUUAUGAACACGAGGUUUAAAACGAUAUUUUACUGAUUUAGUUUGAAAAUGGUUAUUAACCUUCUCGCUGCACAAAAGUUUAUUUAUUUGAUUUGAUAUACAAUAUGGUUGAUUAUGACUUAUAAGAGAUUCUCGAUACUUUCUUUUAUAUAUAUAAGGCACAAAUCUCCAUUUGAAUUAAAUAUUUUUAUCUACUCUUGUAACUUUUACUAUUCAAAAUCUCUACCUUAUUGCUUGUUUCCCAUCUA
rnacentral:lncRNA from 1 species